rnacentral:lncRNA from 1 species
AUAUUUUCAAAGUCUUCCUAAAAUAACUUUUGUAGCGUAAAAGUAAAAUAAAUUUAGUUAUAUAGUAAUAAAGAUAAUUAAAGUAUGAAAUUUCGUUUAUAGUGACACGUGGGCCCCCAACUAACCAAGAAGGUGUAGAGCUACGAACCCUUACUUCCUAUGAUGCAACUUCGAGAUUAAUUCUCGUCUUAAUCAACUAUCAACAAACUGUCCUGAGCCUGAAAAAUGGAUAGGAAGAGGGGUGAGAUUAAAUAAUCCCAGUGAGUAAACAAUUACCAUCAAAAGCAUCUAAAGCCGAGUAGAUGGAGACAAUAUAAAAACGUUAUAUCUCAAUAAUGUUCAUAACACAAAAUUCGUUUCAAUCUAUACCAAAUAAUUUCUUUUCAUCAAAAUUUCC